AUGGCGACGAUGAGGGCCGCCGCCGCGCUGCUUGGCGCCGUGGUGCUGCUGUGCGCGCUCCGUCACGGCGGGGCGCAGCGGUACGAGGCCAUCUACAGCUUCGGCGACUCCAUCUCCGACACCGGCAACCUCUGCGUCGGCGGCUGCCCGUCGUGGCUCACCACCGGGCAGUCGCCCUAUGGGGAGACCUUCUUCAAGCGCCCCACCGGCCGCUGCUCCGACGGCCGCGUCAUCGUCGACUUCCUUGCCGAGCACUUUGGGCUGCCGCUGCUGCCGGCGUCCAAGGCCGGCGGCGACUUCAAGAAGGGCGCCAACAUGGCGAUCAUCGGCGCCACCACCAUGGACUUCGGCUUCUUCCAGUCCAUCGGCCUCAGCGACAAGAUCUGGAACAACGGGCCCCUGGACACCCAGAUCCAGUGGUUCCGGAAGCUCCUCCCGUCCGCCUGCGGUAAGGACUGCAAGAGGCAUCUCUCCAAGUCCCUGUUCGUGGUGGGCGAGUUCGGCGGCAACGACUACAACGCGGCGCUCUUCUCCGGCCGGACCAUGGCCGACGUGAGGGGCUACGUGCCGCGGGUCGUCAGCCACAUCGUCCGUGGCCUCGAGAACAUGAUCAGACUAGGCGCGAUGGACGUGGUGGUGCCGGGGGUGCUCCCCAUCGGGUGCUUCCCGAUCUACCUGACCCUCUACGGCACCUCCAACGCCGGCGACUACGACGGCGACGGGUGCCUCAAGAGCUACAACGAGCUCUCCGCCCACCACAACUCGCUGCUCCGGCGGAGCCUCGCCAACCUCCAGAGGACCUACCCCCACACCAGGAUCAUGUACGCCGACUUCUACGCGCAGGUCAUCCAGAUGAUCCGGGCCCCUCAGAAUUUCGGCCUCAAGUACGGGCUGAAGGUGUGCUGCGGAGCCGGCGGGCAGGGCAAGUACAACUACAACAAUAAGGCGAGGUGCGGCAUGGCCGGGGCGAGCGCCUGCUCCGACCCGCAGAACUACCUCAUCUGGGACGGCAUCCACCUCACGGAGGCGGCGUACCGUUCCAUCGCCAACGGGUGGCUCAAGGGCCCCUACUGCAGCCCCCGCAUCCUGCACUGA
rnacentral:rRNA from 1 species